GACGAACGCUGGCGGCGUGCCUAAUACAUGCAAGUCGAACGCUGAAGGAGGAGCUUGCUUCUCUGGAUGAGUUGCGAACGGGUGAGUAACGCGUAGGUAACCUGCCUGGUAGCGGGGGAUAACUAUUGGAAACGAUAGCUAAUACCGCAUAAGAGUAGAUGUUGCAUGACAUUUGCUUAAAAGGUGCAAUUGCAUCACUACCAGAUGGACCUGCGUUGUAUUAGCUAGUUGGUGGGGUAACGGCUCACCAAGGCGACGAUACAUAGCCGACCUGAGAGGGGGGUCGGCCACACUGGGACUGAGACACGGCCCAGACUCCUACGGGAGGCAGCAGUAGGGAAUCUUCGGCAAUGGACGGAAGUCUGACCGAGCAACGCCGCGUGAGUGAAGAAGGUUUUCGGAUCGUAAAGCUCUGUUGUAAGAGAAGAACGAGUGUGAGAGUGGAAAGUUCACACUGUGACGGUAUCUUACCAGAAAGGGACGGCUAACUACGUG
rnacentral:rRNA from 1 species